GACGAACGCUGGCGGCGUGCCUAACACAUGCAAGUCGAGCGGGGAUUUAAGUGGAAGUUCUUCGGAAUGGAGAUUUAAAUUCUAGCGGCGGACGGGUGAGUAACGCGUGAACAAUCUGUCCCGGACAGGGGGAUAACACUUGGAAACAGGUGCUAAUACCGCAUAAGACCACGGCCUCGCAUGGGGCUGAGGUAAAAGGAGCAAUCCGGUUCGGGGUGAGUUCGCGUCCGAUUAGCUAGUUGGUGAGGUAACGGCCCACCAAGGCGACGAUCGGUAGCCGGCCUGAGAGGGUGAACGGCCACAUUGGAACUGAGAGACGGUCCAAACUCCUACGGGAGGCGGCAGUGGGGAAUAUUGGGCAAUGGGCGAAAGCCUGACCCAGCAACGCCGCGUGAGGGAAGAAGGUUUUCGGAUUGUAAACCUCUGUCCUAUGGGACGAAGGAAGUGACGGUACCAUAGGAGGAAGCCCCGGCUAACUACGUG
rnacentral:rRNA from 1 species